rnacentral:lncRNA from 1 species
GGAAGUUAGUGAUGGGAGUCUCAGAGCACCCAUAUGGUGGUGGUCGUAGUGGUGGUGCGUGAGGGAGUAUGGAAUUCGGGGUUGGAAAUUGGAGAUGAGGUUGUGGGCGUCUCAGAGCAUCCAUUUGGUAAACCUCAUUUUCUCCAAUUUCGUUAAUAAAUCCUAAUCCUAGUAUACUAUCUUAUUUAAAUAAUAAAAAAGUAAAUAACUAAUUUUUUACUAUAAUUACAAAUUUUUCAAAGUGGUGGUGCGUGAGGGAGUAUGGAAUUCGGGGUUGGAAAUUGGAGAUGAGGUUGUGGGCGUCUCAGAGCAUCCAUUUGGUAGACCUCAUUUUCUCCAAUUUCGUUAAUAAAUCCUAAUCCUAGUAUACUAUCUUAUUUAAAUAAUAAAAAAGUAAAUAACUAAUUUUUUACUAUAAUUACAAAUUUUUCAAAAAAAAAAAUACAAAAAAGUUUUAAAUAAAUAAUUAAAAAUAAAAAUUUUAAAAUCAUUUAUCUUCUUCUCCCACCACCACCA